GGCUCAGGAUGAACGCUAGCGGGAGGCCUAACACAUGCAAGUCGAACGGGAUUGAGAGCUUGCUCUCAUGAGAGUGGCGCACGGGUGAGUAACGCGUAUGCAACCUACCUUUAACUGAGGGAUAGCCCAUAGAAAUGUGGAUUAAUACCUUAUAGUUCUUUUGUUUCGCAUGAGAUGGAAGAUAAAGCUCCGGCGGUUAAAGAUGGGCAUGCGUGACAUUAGCUAGUUGGUGAGGUAACGGCUCACCAAGGCUACGAUGUCUAGGGGUUCUGAGAGGAUGAUCCCCCACACUGGUACUGAGACACGGACCAGACUCCUACGGGAGGCAGCAGUGAGGAAUAUUGGUCAAUGGGCGCAAGCCUGAACCAGCCAUCCCGCGUGCAGGAUGAAGGCCCUAUGGGUCGUAAACUGCUUUUAUACGCCAAGAAAAACACCCACGAGUGGGUGCCUGACGGUAGUGUAUGAAUAAGCAUCGGCUAACUCCGUGCCAGCAGCCGCGGUAAUACGGAGGAUGCAAGCGUUAUCCGGAUUCAUUGGGUUUAAAGGGUGCGUAGGCGGCUUUUUAAGUCAGUGGUGAAAUCUUGCCGCUUAACGGUAAAAUUGCCAUUGAUACUGAGAAGCUUGAGUACAGUUGAGGUAGGCGGAAUGUGUAGUGUAGCGGCGAAAUGCUUAGAUAUUACACAGAACACCAAUUGCGAAGGCAGCUUACUAAACUGGUAACUGACGCUGAUGCACGAAAGCGUGGGGAGCGAACAGGAUUAGAUACCCUGGUAGUCCACGCCGUAAACGAUGCUCACUCGCUGUUUGCGAUACACAGCAAGCGGCCAAGCGAAAGCAUUAAGUGAGCCACCUGGGGAGUACGAUCGCAAGGUUGAAACUC
rnacentral:rRNA from 1 species